UACGUAGGGGGCAAGCGUUGUCCGGAUUUAUUGGGCGUAAAGAGCGUGUAGGCGGCUUUACAGGUCCGUUGUGAAAACUCGAGGCUCAACCUCGAGACGCCGGUGGAAACCGUAAGGCUAGAGUCCGGAAGAGGAGAGUGGAAUUCCUGGUGUAGCGGUGAAAUGCGCAGAUAUCAGGAAGAACACCCGUGGCUAAGGCGGUUCUCUAGUACGGUACUGACGCUGAGACGCGAAAGCGUGGGGAGCGAACAGG
rnacentral:rRNA from 1 species